rnacentral:rRNA from 1 species
UACGUAGGAGGCAAGCGUUGUCCGGAAUUACUGGGCGUAAAGCGCGUGUAGGUGGUGGGACAAGUCUGCUGUGAAAGCGCCUGGCUUAACCGGGCGAGGUCGGCGGAAACUGUCCGACUCGAGGACGGUAGAGGGGGGUGGAAUUCCCGGUGUAGUGGUGAAAUGCGCAGAUAUCAGGAGGAACACCGGCGGCGAAGGCGGGUCUCUGGGCCGUAACUGACACUGAGGAGCGAAAGCGUGGGGAGCGAACAGG